AUUGAACGCUGGCGGCAGGCCUAACACAUGCAAGUCGAGCGGAUGAAGAGAGCUUGCUCUCUGAUUCAGCGGCGGACGGGUGAGUAAUGCCUAGGAAUCUGCCUGAUAGUGGGGGACAACGUUUCGAAAGGAACGCUAAUACCGCAUACGUCCUACGGGAGAAAGCAGGGGACCUUCGGGCCUUGCGCUAUCAGCUGAGCCUAGGUCGGAUUAGCUAGUAGGUGAGGGAAAGGCUCACCUAGGCGACGAUCCGUAACUGGUCUGAGAGGAUGAUCAGUCAGACUGGAACUGAGACACGGUCCAGACUCCUACGGGAGGCAGCAGUGGGGAAUAUUGGACAAUGGGCGAAAGCCUGAUCCAGCCAUGCCGCGUGUGUGAAGAAGGUCUUCGGAUUGUAAAGCACUUUAAGUUGGGAGGAAGGGCAGUAAGUUAAUACCUUGCUGUUUUGACGUUACCAACAGAAUAAGCACCGGCUAACUUCGUGCCAGCCGCCGCAGUAAGAC
rnacentral:rRNA from 1 species